CUGGAAAACGAAACAUAAAGGUGCGUAAAGGUGUGUUGUGUCAUUUUUAAAGGAGUGGUGAGACAGCACAGCCUGCACUUUACACUUCAUUUCAGUGAGGACUAACAGACUAUCUUCAGACUAUCUCCAUUUGGAACAAUGUCAUCUGGGAAUCUGAGUACAAUGCAAAUGGAAAAGGAAGCCAGAAGGAGGAAAUUUUAUCAGGAUAAAAUAAGAAACAGAGAGAGCCUGAAAUCAUGUGGCAUGAAUUUAAUCACUACUGUCGAAAAGACAAUCACAAACCAUAGCCGGGAAGCUGAAUUACUGAAGUACUUCAAUGAGAUGCUUCACAGCAUUUUCUUCCUGGGAUACAUCCAUGAACACCGCUUACAUCCCAAAGAUUUUGUUUCAACUGAUGAAGUACACAGAAGUUUAAGUUGCAAAUUUCCUGAGCCAUUUAUAAUGUACAACAGUCACCUGCCAACUCGCACACCCUUUUCUAUCCUGCUUGAGAUGAUGGAGAUACUCUAUGAGACUGAAGAGAGAAUAAAACAGGAGCUUGCAAUUCUGUUGAAGAGCAUGAAAUUUCCAAACCCUCUACACAAAGAAGGCAGUAAAUAUGAGCAAUAUUACACACUGGAGUCAACAGUCAUCUGUGUUUGUUACUCCAAUUUGGAUUUACGGAAAUAUUAUGGAGCAUCUUUUUGCUGCAGGAAAGGAAAUGCCAAGACAAUCCUUAUUGAUCUGUCUUGUCUUAAAACCUGGCAUGAAUAUGUUUCUCAUGCAGUCAUGUCGUUUCAUGGUGGAGCUUCUGGUGAUGGAAUAACUUUCCCUACAGAACUGAAAUGCAGGGCAUUUUAUAGAGACUGGAAAGAAAAUGUUUACAAUGAGAAACGACCCUGUGCAAACUGUAAAAAACUGUUCAAUCUGCCAAACGCAGACCCUGAUAAAGUAGAACAUCCUUUUGGGAACUGUGCUGAGACCGAGUGCCUGAGCAAACUCCUGAAGAAUGAUCAAUACAUGCAGCAGAAAGCAAUGAUUCCAAAUCACUCAGAGGAACAUUUAGAGAAACUCAGAAAUUCAACAAAGGCACGAUUGACAGUGCAGCUUAGAAAGGCUGGCAUUGAAUGUACUGAUAAUAACUUUCUCUUUUACAACCCAUGUGUAAAGCAAAAUGUUACAAUUUGUUGAUGGCUGAGGACACAAAAAAAUGGCUUUUUAUGGUACAGAACAGGAUUCCCGGCCAUGGUCACAUGUCCCUCUCUUCAAAAUUCAUCAGGAUUAUUCUUAUAUAGUGUUGCAUACAAUUGCAAUUGCAUACAAAUGACUAAUAACUAGUUUCUGAGUAUAAGGUCCAGUAUGCAUAAUUUGAAAAUGCUUAGUAUUGAUGAUGCAUACCCAGAACUGGCUGCUUUUUUAAAAUGUGAAUACAAUAGACACUAUUAUUCCACAAUGCAAUGCAAAACAGAAAGAGAGGAGCUACUAAUGUCUAGAACAAUAUCAGAAAAAAGUUAGAUAAUGAUGCAGGUCCAGCAGCACAGGUGGCUGGAGAACUUACCGUGACUUAUAUAGGAAUUGCAAUAAUUUAUCUCUUCCUGAAAGUAAUAAACAGGUUAGUACAUUCA
rnacentral:lncRNA from 1 species